rnacentral:rRNA from 1 species
UACGUAGGGGGCGAGCGUUGUCCGGAAUCAUUGGGCGUAAAGCGCGUGUAGGCGGCCCGGUAAGUCCGCUGUGAAAGUCCAGGGCUCAACCCUGGGAUGCCGGUGGAUACUGUCGGGCUCGAGUCCGGAAGAGGCGAGUGGAAUUCCUGGUGUAGCGGUGAAAAUGCGCAGAUAUCAGGAGGAACGACCAAUGGCGAAGGCGGCUCACUGGACCGGUACUGACGCUGAUGACGCGAAAGCGUGGGGAGCAAACGGG